UCCUGGACGAGUGCAGGCAACACAUUACGCGAAACCCUUUUGCGAUCCACAGCUCUUAAAACAAACGCUCUGGUUUCUUUAGACAGCUCCUUCCCAGCCUUUUAGCUCUUCCUUCCCCAGCCCCAGAUUCCCUAGAAAACCAUCUGAGGUGGAGGGGGGGGAAAGAAGGGAAAAGCUCUUUUUUCUUUUGGAAGGGAGGGAAUCGUUCUCUUUUGGUUUUGUUUGGGGAUUGUUUUUGCUUUGGGGGACUUCUUUUUGUAUUUAUUUUGGUUUUGGGGUCUUUUUGCAUACAAAACUAAGUGAAGAAGAUUUGGCAAGAUACUCUGCUAAUACUCUGUGAGUUAUGUGUGAUGCUUUCUUCGCUAUCCAGUUCACAUCAUGAGCUGGAAGUAUGUCUCUGGGGUCUGACUUGGUAGCCAUUGGAGGAAGACUCAGUUUCUCUCUUUUCCAUGGUGUUUCUCUGUAAUGCAAAGGGGAAGGCUAAAGCCACCAGACAAACUGUUGUUUCAAUCCAAAACUGCUGCAAGUGUUUCACGCCAUUGGUGUCAGAGGACCUUAGCACAUGAGUUGCCUGGUUUUGAUGGGGUCCUGGUCUAUGCAUCAAGAUUCUCCAAGAGUCCCACAUAUGAAGGUCCAAGUCUUAAUAAGUCCCUGAUCUUCUGACCCAGUCACAGAUGGUUCCAAACUGAGGAGAAAUCGUGACUUCGACUUGAGACGUCCCCUUCCCUUCCCUGGGAAAAAAAGAGAGAGGGAGAGAGAGAGAGAGACCAUCCAAUCGCAACGGCGUCGAGGGGGCAGCCGGACUCGGUGGAGCUCGAUUCUCCUGUCCGUCCGUCCAUCCGUCCGUCCGCCUGCGUCUGUGCCUGCCUCUCCCUCCGUGUGCGUGUGUGUGCGCGUUGUGUGCAUAAAGUCCUCAACAAGUUGCAGAAGGGGAAAGGGAGAAGGAGGGGUUAAUCCUGGGGAAUCUUCUGCACCUAGCGAGAUCGUGACCCUCCCACACAGUACAGUAACUUAUAUACAUACCUGGAGAAAGGGACGCUUCGCUUUUCAGGGCUUUCUCUUAAAAAAAAACCCACCACCACAACAACAAACCCAAACAAAAAAAACAAACCACCAACCAACCCCAGACACACACCAAAAAACACUCCUGGUGAUGCUUGUACCCCACGCGGGACCUCCCCGGAGCUGCCAGGGACUCCCCCCUCCAGGUACGACUGAGCUGUUGAGGUCUGGAGCUGCUGCAGGAGCAAUGAAGACUGCAGGGCAGGAAGGGGGAAAGAGACAUCCUAAAGCACUGGGACAGACGACGUGGCUUUGAGGAGGGUUGAUUUUCCACACUGUUUGACUUGUCCUCAAAGCAACGCUUCUGUCACCCUCCUUACCCUCCUGGGACCAGCUGCUGGGGAAGUAAAGAUACGAUGCAGAUCUUCACCCACCUCUGGAAAGGCCCUCAGCUGAUUCCCCUGCUCUGCUGUGUCUCCUGCCUUAUUUUCUAACCAUACUCCUGGUGAAUACAGGAUGUCCAAACUGGGAGGCAGGGCAGAAGGCAGAGGAGUGAGCCUGCAUCUGGGGAAGCUGAUUCAGCAGAUGUGAUCACCAGCUGGCUUGUCCCAGCUUUGGAUGAUCCCAAAGUUCAUCAUGAAGCAGGUGGCAGGGCCUGUCGAUGGGCUUGGUGUGGCCAGGUUAGACAUGGAUCCCCUAUCUGCAGCAUGGGAGUUACAGGUCACGCCAGAGGAGGGUGUGCUCCUUGCAUCGCAACGUCGAGGCAAGCAGAGGGGAGCAAUCUGCUGCCCGCAAAUGGGCUUUGUUCAGGUGAAUUCCACGCACUCAGAGAGGCUUUGGUGAGUGGUUGUUUGUGUUUGUGUCACGCUGCUGUAGCAAAAGGCUGACCUGAACCGAGCCUGGGAGGAGAAAGAGGGGGAAGGAAAAAAACCUCCCAGCUUGAUGGUACCGAUUUGUGCAUGGAACUCUAAAGGUCCACAUGCCAGUAGGUCACCCACACUGUCCUCUUGGGCUUUAGGUAGUGCUUGGGUCUGGUGUGCCAGAGAAGAGCAGGGUGCCACGUCACCAAGCUGCAACGCUGGGGAGCUCUGCUCAGCAGGAUCCCAGGAGAAGGGAUCUUGUGCUGAAGUGGAACCAUAAAAGCUUAUGGUUUCUUAAAGCCUCAUCUUUUCCUUUUGAAAAAUAAAAGGUAUGCUUGUGAAAAAGAAGGGGGAAAUAAAAGCCAACAAUCAGUUACCUUUUGGGUUUAAAUUAAAUUAAGACUUCAUAUUCAAUGUCAAAGCAGAAUGCAACUGAUUUGUGUUAGUGCACGACAGCAAAGAGGUAAAAUGGCAAAGAUAAGAAGAUAAACCUUUUCUUUUUAAUUGCCUUGUUGGUGGUUGCUUUGGGUUGGUUUUUUUUACUGACAAAAAUUAAAAGGGAAAUCAUAAUUUCCCUUCUAGUUUUAGUUUUAGUUUUCCAA